GAUGAAGAACGCAGUGAAAUGCGAUAACUAAUGUGAAUUGCAGAAUUCCGUGAAUCAUUGAGUCUUUGAACGCACAUUGCGCCCCUUGGUAUUCCGGGGGGCAUGCCUGUUCGAGCGUCAUUAUCACCCCUCAAGCUCAGCUUGGUGUUGGGGCCUGCCGUCAAGGCAGCCCUUAAAAUCAGUGGCGGCGCCAUCUGGCUCUAAGCGUAGUAAUACUUCUCGCUACAGGGUCCUGGUGGUGUCUUGCCAGAACCCCUCAUUUUUUAUGAUUGACCUCGGAUCAGGUAGGGAUACCCGCUGAACUUAAGCAUAUCAAUAAGCGGAGGA
rnacentral:misc_RNA from 1 species